rnacentral:lncRNA from 1 species
AGUGAAUGUCUUGAAACUUAGUAACACAAGACAAUUCACUGAAUGGUUGUUGGCUCUACCGGAGGAGUCUGAAAUCAACAACGUGUAACUGCUUGGGCAUUGAGUGUUCCGCUGCUUGAGGAAGUAUGUGAGAGGAUCGAUGUUGAGCAGAAGUGGGGUUAAAGCAGCCAACAACGCAUCCCCCUUUACUUAGUAGGGCUUGAAAGGCUGGACAGUUUGUUUUCCAUAACUGCUUGGGCAUUGAGUGUUUUGCUGCUUGAGGAAGUAUGUGGGAGGAUCGAUGUUGAGCAGAAGUGGGGCUAAAGCAGCCAACAACGCAUCCCCCUUUACUUAUUAGGGCUUGAAAGGCUGGACAGUUUGUUUUCCUUUCCUGUCCAGUAUUUUCAAUGCAAGCCGAAAUAGGAAAAUCUGCAAGAACCAGUAGGCCCGGUCGUCGGUUGAACGUCAGUAGGGUCCGAUAUUCAUUACUUACUCAAAUAGGAAGGUGGCAGUCUCAAUCUAGCGGCGUGGUCAAGAACAAGCCUUUGGUGAUCCAUGGGGUUUUUGUUUU